rnacentral:rRNA from 2 species
UACGUAGGAGGCGAGCGUUAUCCGGAUUUAUUGGGCGUAAAGUGGGCGUAGGUGGUCUUUCAAGUCAGAUGUGAAAUCUCCCGGCUUAACUGGGAGGGGUCAUCUGAUACUGUUGGACUUGAGUACAGCAGGGGAAAAUGGAAUUCCCGGUGUAGUGGUGAAAUGCGUAGAUAUCGGGAGGAACACCAGAGGCGAAGGCGAUUUUCCAGGCUGAAACUGACACUGAGGCCCGAAAGCGUGGGGAGCGAACAGG